rnacentral:rRNA from 1 species
UACGGAGGGAGCUAGCGUUGUUCGGAAUUACUGGGCGUAAAGCGCACGUAGGCGGCUUUGCAAGUUAGAGGUGAAAGCCCGGGGCUCAACUCCGGAAUUGCCAUUGAAACUGUUUAGCUCGAGUACGAGAGAGGUGAGUGGAAUUCCCAGUGUAGAGGUGAAAUUCGUAGAUAUUGGGAAGAACACCGGUGGCGAAGGCGGCUCACUGGCUCGUAACUGACGCUCAUGCACGACAGCGUGGGGAUCAAACAGG